GCCAGCCAGCCAUAUCACCUUGCAACUCACAACUGGCAACCCACUGAAGCUCAGCAGGUGUGAGCCUGGUCAGUACCUGGAUGGGAGACCUCCUGGGAAAAACUAAGGUUGCUGCUGGAA
ensembl:rRNA 5S_rRNA 5S ribosomal RNA